ACGCUCGACACCUACGGAGGCAGCAGUGGGGAAUAUUGCACAAUGGGGGAAACCCUGAUGCAGCGACGCCGCGUGAGUGAAGAAGUAAUUCGUUAUGUAAAGCUCUAUCAGNACCCCGGGAAGAAAGUGACGGUACCUGAGUAAGAAGCCCCGGCUAACUACGUGCUAGCAGCCGCGGUAAUCUGAGCGGGCGUGGCGAAGGCG
rnacentral:rRNA from 1 species